AUGAGAGGGAUGAAUGGCUCAGCUGGUGUAGGUAUGGUGUUAAGGGAUGAGAGGGGUGCCAUCAUUUUCUCUUCCUGUACGCAAUCGUUUCAUUGUCGGGACGCGCUCAAAGCUGAGCUAUGUGCAUGCAUGGAAGGUCUAUCUUUUUCUAUCCAGAGAAGCGACUUGCCAGUGCAGGUUGAGAUGGACUCCCUAAUGGCAGUAAAAUUGAUUCAAGCUUCAGAUAUUGAUAGAUCGGUUUACUCGUCCAUCAUCAAGGAGAUUAGAUAUCUUUUGUCGCUCCGUGAUUUUUGUAUUACUCAUGUAAAUUAUAGCCAAAAUAAAGUUAGUGAUAGUUUAGCAUAUUUUGCUCGUAGCGAGGGUAGAACCAUGACUUGA
rnacentral:rRNA from 1 species